rnacentral:lncRNA from 1 species
UUGAAGAAGAGAAAGAAUUAUAAGAGGAGAGAGGAGACACUCCAUAUGAUUCCUCCUCGUCUUUCUACGGCACUUAACACUUGAAGAACAAAGGAAACAGCAUCAGACUGGGGAAGGGUUCCUGACUGAAAGAGAUUCAGCCAAUGCACAGAAUGCUUUCAAAGUACGGCUUAGUAUCAAAACAGCUUUGGGAGAUAAUGCAUAUGCCUGGGAUGCAAGUG